AGGAAGCCAGGGAAUAGGCGCAGAAUCAAUGGCAAGUCGAGUCGACAGAUUAAUGAAGCUUAUAGCCCUCCAAUGCAGUAUCUGUAUGCUUUACAAAACUAUCCGAGUAUUGCAAAAUUGCAUGAUACAUCAAAUUGGAGCGUAGCCUACAUACUUAUGGACUGUGGACUUAUGUUGCUUAUUUAGAGGCUGCCGUACAUGGAUCAGGUAUGAUAUUGAUUGCAGAAAUUUCUAUACGACUCUUGCGGAUUUCAACCUUGUUCUUCUCCCUAAUUUAGGAAAACUACAAGUAUUUGGUGCAUGAUAUAAAAUAGCUGCAGGCUAAUCCUCCCCUAAUGUCCAUAAUGUUCUAUGGUACACAAUAUGGGUAAAGGAGAGCACAUUGCUCUAAUGUUUUUGCAUAUGAUAUUAAAUCAGACAUUUCAGUGGAUAAUAUAUGGUAUUGACUUGGACAUUGGUGUUGUGGAACAAUCUAGCAGGUAUUGGAUCUUAUAGAAUUAUAGAGUUGGCGGGGUCUGAAAAUCAUGGUGUUGGUGUUUUAGCCUAUUAAUCUGUAGAUAAAGAAAGUCCGUACAUCUCUACAAAUAAUCCUGAAGAAAGUUCUACUAUUGCGAACGCUCCAACUGAAUAAGAAAUAUGAUUUUUUUUAAUUGAAGAAGAAGCCAAUUUCUCGAGAAGGAAUACAGAAUAAUAUUUUGGAUUAUUUACUUGAGGUCUCAGAUUCAUCGCAUCAACCGUGAGGGGUAGUAUGCAAGGAUCAACCGAUGUGGAUAACAAAAUCUGGGUGCGAGCUUCCGGGAAAUCUAAUUGGGUCUAUGCAAACAAGCAGAUUUGGAAGAUAAUCCCUGUACAUGUAUGACUAUACGAACUCUUCUUCCCUCCAGGCAAUAGAGUUUAGCUUCAGUAAGCAAGUGCUAAGAUAACUUGCAUUCAUAACUCUGCUGCUGAUCAAGUCAAGUGUCUGUAUUUGGUGUUAAGGUUGAUUUGGCAAAUCUUUGACAGUAGCUGUGGGUCUUAUACUGAUGACAAUCAACGUGUCUUUUCCGACCAACCAGGGGUCGAUUCCAACAUAUGUUUUGUCCAUCUUUGAAGCCCAUUUGCUACUCAUUGAUCUGCUUCACUCCUCCACAAGGUACGAUAUUAUUAUACCCCUGUUGCGUCCUACUGCGCACACGCAAUUGUGGUGAUCAGAAUGGAAUUCUAUUCGUGAUUCAUGAUCUCCACGUCGAAGGAACCGAAUGGAAACAAUAGCAUGACAAAACAAAUGAAUUUCUACCUAUAUUUCUACACAUUGUCCAGCCCCUUGUCUAGCUUGUUGAUUUUUAUUAGUUUCAGUUUCUCACUAGGUUCUCUUGAGCGAUGAGUCAUACUGGAUGUUCAAGGACACAGGAGGCUUCAUGAACCACAUUCUCUUGCUGAACUUUUUUUGGCAUGAUAACAACGAUUCCCAUGAUCUUUCUAUGGUAAAACCUUCAGUCUUGUUAAUCCCGUUAUCUUGAGUUAUGAUGGUAUAUGAAUUUUUUUUUCCAUUGGAGCAACAAUGUCAUUCUUUUUUAGCCUGCAACUGUGAUGUUUCCAUUCAAGUUACUGAUUGCUGGAAUGCGAUUAUUUGAAGGCAUCUUAUGAUCUGGUCAUAACUAGCCAAAGCUCUGCAAUAUUAGUGUGUAAUCAUAUCCUCUUUCUCUCUGCUUGUGGGUAGUGCUUUACUGAUGGACGGUGUUGGCGCGUUUAGGGCAUAAUGACCUGAGCGGUAGAUCAUAGGGUGAACAACGUCGACGGCAGCGCUAGAGCGUGGCGAGGCUGGUUGAGGUUUUCUCUAUGCUUCUUUUAAUGACCACAUGUAAUUUUAUUUGAGAUCUUUUCAUGGUUGCACUGCUAAUUAAUAAUCUUAACGAUGUAAUGUAAUUCGCAUAAUAUGAUAUAAUCAUUUGGUAGUAGACUUUGCUGGACUAUUGUAGGUCGCCAGAAACACUAUGUUCUAUCCAGAAGGUCAUCCACAACGUCUGUGCAUUGCGUAGAGCUGCUUACUGCAAUUUUCUAGAAUGCACUUCUUGAAUUAUUCCGGAAGAUGUUAGUAUUUCACCUCAGUACCUUGCUGCUCACUCCAGCGUGAAGACGUGUUCGCUAAAUGGUGAGCUAUGCAUUGUGAAAGGGUAAGGCAAUGCAUCACGGUUGAUCUUUGCUUGAACUUGUGGGCCUUCAAUAGCGUUUUAGUUCAUAUAAAAGCAAAUCCCGUAUAUUCUUAAACAUAAAGAGAUUAUUAUGGUUCAGACUAUCAAGGAUAUCAAUAAUUCUAUAUGCGCUAAAUAGGACUCCCAUUUUAAAGAAAAAUAAGACUCUUUUUAUAAACACGGUUCGACCAUGGUGCUAAUAUAUGUUUUUUUGGGAGGUGUUAUGUAUGUUUAGAUUCAUGCACUAUGUGUAUCACGCCUCUCUUCCUUUUCUAAAAUAUUGGCAGAGGCUCUAUCUCAUACACUAAAUCUUUUAUCGAGCCUAUCAUGGCUGCACCUCAAGGUUUGAUAACUAAUGUCGAUUCAGAAGGUGGAUUUGGCUCAUUGAUGAUACAUAUAAGCAAUUUCUGAGCUCAUAGGUUCCAAGCUAUUCAGUUUUAUGCAAAAUUGUGGAGCAGAAAAACAAGCUGGAAGCUUACUCGGGGAUGCAGGCCAGCGGCAACCCCACAGCCGAAGGCGACAAGGUUGCGCCAGACAUCAAAGAGAAGUAGCGCGCUCGGGCCUGCUAGGAGCUCCGGGCUUGGUGGGUGUGGACCACGACAUUACCGAGGAGUAUUCUUUAUUGGAGAGACCAAGACUGCCGAGAAAGAAAGAAGCCGAUCUGGCCCCCUGGGACCUGCGACCACAGCUGGAGAGGGCGUCUCCCCCUUGUUGACGGGGUUUGGCGCCGGUGCUCGGUGCGCCGUCUUGGCCGUGCUGGGCGGCGAGUCAGUGGCGGGCUUGGAUCCGAUCUGAAGUUGGUGGCAUCACCAUGCUUGUCCUCCUUUGUUAGCUGGUUUGCGGGCUUCCUCCGGACGUCCUGCUCGGCUGGUUGGCGGAGCAAUGGCGAUGCAAGCUCUGGGUCGGGGGAAACCCUUGACCGGUGGUGCCGGUCACGAUGUUGGCGGCGCUUGCGGCGCCGUUCUCCCUCUGGUGAGCAACAUCGAGACCCUCUCCUCGCCUUCCACCCCAUGGUCCCGGGCGAAAGCCUAAAAUCUCUUGAUUGGGCGGCGACAGUGCGUCGGCAUCGUUUUCUUCUUGAAGACGCUGCCUUGGGAGUCCAGGAUGGCCAGGGGCUCAGAGCGGUGGUGGUUUGCCUGUUCUUCUAACGUGACCCUGCUUGGCAAUGGCGGUGGGUUCCUUGGUCUUGGCCGCUGACGGGCACGUUGUAUGGGUUCUUAUGAGAGGUGAGGUGGCCAGGGCUCGUCCUCUCCCCAACAACAUGUUGGCCAGUCCAUCCGUGCUCGGGGGUGAGCUAUUCUGCCUCCUGACGGGCCGGAGUCCUUUGAUCUAGGACGAGAAGGCAGGGGUGCCCUCUUCGGAGGCAGAGGCUGAAGGUAGGACAACAGGGUUGGCCCUUGGGAGUUGAUGGAGCAUGGCCUUCCUCCGGUGGUGAAUUGCUCCCUUACGCGGUUGCGUCGAUGGCAUGAUCGGAGGUCGUCGCUUGUUGUUCCAUAGUGUUUGUACCCUGUUGAUUUUCGGUUCUCUUAUUUUCCUUCUUUGUUGUGGUGAUGGCUGUAAUGUAUGGUUGUUGCUUUAUAUAUAAAGCGGAGCGAAAACCAUUUUCAAUAAAGAAAGAAGCCGAAGAGAGUUUGAAUUUGUUGCUAUUUGA